UUACUAGUAAUCGCAGAGCAGAAUGCUGCGGUGAAUGCGUUCCCGGGUCUUGUACACACCGCCCGUCACACCACGGGAGUUGGAGACGCCCGAAGCCGAUUAUCUAACCUUUUGGAAGAAGGCGUCGAAGGUGGAAUCAAUAACUGGGGUGAAGUCGUAACAAGGUAGCCGUAUCGGAAGGUGCGGCUGGAUCACCUCCUUUCUAAGGAGA
rnacentral:rRNA from 1 species